rnacentral:rRNA from 1 species
UACGUAGGGUGCGAGCGUUGUCCGGAAUUAUUGGGCGUAAAGAGCUCGUAGGCGGUUUGUCGCGUCGACUGUGAAAACUGGGGGCUUAACUCUCAGCUUGCAGUUGAUACGGGCAGACUUGAGUUCGGUAGGGGAGACUGGAAUUCCUGGUGUAGCGGUGAAAUGCGCAGAUAUCAGGAGGAACACCGGUGGCGAAGGCGGGUCUCUGGGCCGAUACUGACGCUGAGGAGCGAAAGCGUGGGGAGCGAACAGG